rnacentral:rRNA from 1 species
AUUGAACGCUGGCGGCAGGCUUAACACAUGCAAGUCGAGCGGAGAUGAGGUGCUUGCACCUUAUCUUAGCGGCGGACGGGUGAGUAAUGCUUAGGAAUCUGCCUAUUAGUGGGGGACAACAUUCCGAAAGGAAUGCUAAUACCGCAUACGUCCUACGGGAGAAAGCAGGGGAUCUUCGGACCUUGCGCUAAUAGAUGAGCCUAAGUCGGAUUAGCUAGUUGGUGGGGUAAAGGCCUACCAAGGCGACGAUCUGUAGCGGGUCUGAGAGGAUGAUCCGCGAGACUGAGACUGAGACACGGCCCAGGCUCCUACGGGAGGCAGCAGUGAGGAGUAUUGGACAAUGGGGGGAACCCUGAUCCAGCCAUGCCGCGUGUGUGAAGAAGGCCUUAUGGUUGUAAAGCACUUUAAGCGAGGAGGAGGCUACUGAGACUAAUACUCUUGGAUAGUGGACGUUACUCGCAGAAUAAGCACCGGCUAACUCUGUGCCAGCCGCCGCAGUAACAC